rnacentral:rRNA from 1 species
CAGCACCUCAAGUGGUCAGGAUGAUUAUUGGGCCUAAAGCAUCCGUAGCCGGCUCUGUAAGUUUUCGGUUAAAUCUGUACGCUCAACGUACAGGCUGCCGGGAAUACUGCAGAGCUAGGGAGUGGGAGAGGUUGACGGUACUCGGUAGGAAGGGGUAAAAUCCUUUGAUCUAUUGAUGACCACCUGUGGCGAAGGCGGUCUACCAGAACACGUCCGACGGUGAGGGAUGAAAGCUGGGGGAGCAAACCGGAUUAGAUACCCGAGUAGUCC